rnacentral:rRNA from 1 species
UACGAAGGGUGCUAGCGUUGUUCGGAAUCACUGGGCGUAAAGCGCGCGUAGGCGGUCUAACAAGUCAGGGGUGAAAGCCUGGAGCUUAACUCCAGAACUGCCUUUGAAACUGUUAAACUAGAGUGUCGGAGGGGAUAGCGGAAUUGCUAAUGUAGAGGUGAAAUUCGUAGAUAUUAGCAGGAACACCGGUGGCGAAGGCGGCUAUCUGGACGACAACUGACGCUGAGGCGCGAAAGCGUGGGGAUCAAAC